CGAACCGUGCAAACGUUAUUCGGAAUCACUGGGCUUAAAGCGUGCGUAGGCGGCUAAGAAAGUUGGGUGUGAAAUCCCUCGGCUCAACCGAGGAAUUGCGCUCAAAACUACUUAGCUUGAGGGAGUUAGAGGUGAGCGGAACUAAUGGUGGAGCGGUGAAAUGCGUUGAUAUCAUUAGGAACACCGGUGGCGAAAGCGGCUCACUGGGACUCUUCUGACGCUGAGGCACGAAAGCUAGGGGAGCGAACGGGAUUAGAUACCCCGGUAGUCCUAGCUGUAAACGAUGAGCACUGGGUCGGAGAACCCUCCACAGUUUUCCGGCCGUAGCGAAAGUGUUAAGUGCUCCGCCUAGGGAGUAUGGUCGCAAGGCUG
rnacentral:rRNA from 1 species